rnacentral:rRNA from 1 species
UACGUAGGGUGCGAGCGUUGUCCGGAAUUACUGGGCGUAAAGAGCUCGUAGGUGGUUUGUCGCGUUGUUCGUGAAAACCUGAGGCUUAACCUUGGGCGUGCGGGCGAUACGGGCAGACUGGAGUACUGCAGGGGAGACUGGAAUUCCUGGUGUAGCGGUGGAAUGCGCAGAUAUCAGGAGGAACACCGGUGGCGAAGGCGGGUCUCUGGACAGUAACUGACGCUGAGGAGCGAAAGCGUGGGGAGCGAACAGG